AUUGAACGCUGGCGGCAUGCCUUACACAUGCAAGUCGAACGGCAGCACGGGAGCAAUCCUGGUGGCGAGUGGCGAACGGGUGAGUAAUAUAUCGGAACGUGCCCAGUCGUGGGGGAUAACGUAGCGAAAGCUACGCUAAUACCGCAUACGAUCUAUGGAUGAAAGCGGGGGGAUCGCAAGACCUCGCGCGAUUGGAGCGGCCGAUAUCAGAUUAGGUAGUUGGUGAGGUAAAGGCUCACCAAGCCGACGAUCUGUAGCUGGUCUGAGAGGACGACCAGCCACACUGGGACUGAGACACGGCCCAGACUCCUACGGGAGGCAGCAGUGGGGAAUUUUGGACAAUGGGCGCAAGCCUGAUCCAGCAAUGCCGCGUGCAGGAUGAAGGCCUUCGGGUUGUAAC
rnacentral:rRNA from 1 species